rnacentral:rRNA from 1 species
GAUCCUGGCUUAGGAUGAACGCUAGCGACAGGCCUAACACAUGCAAGUCGAGGGGCAGCACAAGGAGUAAUCUGAGGUGGCGACCGGCGCACGGGUGAGUAACACGUAUGCAACCUGGCUGUAAAGAGGGGAAUAACCCGGAGAAAUCCGGACUAAUACCGCAUAAUACUUAGAAUCCGCAGUGGAUUUUAAGUUAAACAUUUAUGGCUUACAGAUGGGCAUGCGUAUGAUUAGCUGGUUGGAGAGGUAACGGCUCCCCAAGGCAACGAUCAUUAGGGGUUCUGAGAGGAAGGUCCCCCACACUGGUACUGAGACACGGACCAGACUCCUACGGGAGGCAGCAGUGAGGAAUAUUGGUCAAUGGACGCAAGUCUGAACCAGACCCAAGUCGCGUGAAGGAAGAAUGUCCUAUGGAUUGUAAACUUCUUUUGAAGGGGAAUAAAGUACGGUACGUGUACCGUUUUGUAUGUACCCUUCGAAUAAGGAUCGGCUAACUCCGUGCCAGCAGCAGC